rnacentral:hammerhead_ribozyme from 1 species
GUCUAGCUAACGAGUCCCAAAUAGGACAAAACACGCGUCCUGGAU